rnacentral:lncRNA from 10 species
CUGGAGACACCCAGACGGUGUGCAUCCAAGCGGGCUUCACGCGUGUACAAAGGUGCCCUCGUGGGGUGACCCUUGAGGCAGAAUGGCCUGCCCAUCCCCCCAACCUCCCAGGACACUGAUGUCAGCACAGUAGCAGCUUCCUUGACAAAUAUUUGUGGAGCUGAAUAAAAAAGCAGCACAGAAGAGCAAACCCCUUGAGAGAUGUCGGCCGACUCCCAGGCCUCCAGAACUUAGCUUGAUGGACUUUGACAGACAGGGAUUUGUUUCUUCGUGUUGUUUAGCUCAAACCAGAGCUAAACCUCCUCAUCGUCUCAAAUGACCUGAAAUGGUUUCCCAAGCAACCUGGGCAGACCCUGGGGAGUCCAGAAGGCAUUCAGGGGCCCUGGACCUCUGGGGCUGAAGAUCUGCCUGCCGCUGUCCUGGAGGUCACAGGUUCCAGAAGGGCAGCAGAUGCCUGAAGCCGCAGGGCUGCGGGAAACAUACCUCACUUGCCUGUGGUCCAGUUUGGAUAGUCCCAGCACAGCUUUACAGGAAUAGGCCCCAAACCGAACUUCCAAGGAGGAAGGAUCUGAUCGGCUCAGCUUGGAUGAGGAAGCGGAGGGAGAGUGGACUGGAAGGAACUUGACCCAGGAUGCUGAGUAAGCAGAGCUGUGAAUAUUUGAGUUCAAGCAGUUGGGCUCCCAAAGCCGGUGAUGUUAACCCUAAGCACCUUGUCAUCAUUAUAAUAGCAAAAUUUGCCAUUCAGCUACAAGAAGUGCAGUUGGCAGACAGCCUUCAACUUCAGCAUCUUCAGAGUCUGCCUUGACUUUCAAGCUGAGGCCAUGGACUUCUCAGGAGCUCCUAGCCAAUGGCUGAGAACAACAAACACCCUCACAAACACACCCGGAAUAGUGUUUAGUCAAAUGUCUAAGCACUCCAUGGGCCAGUCAAGUUGACACACAAAACUUGCCACCCCAGCUUCCUACAGAAGCCAACUCCCUCAAGAAGAGAUGAAGAUUCGGCUCUAUGUUGGUGGCGUGGCGUUGUGUACCUAGAACAAUGGAUUACAGCUGGGAAACUGAGUUCCAAAGGCAGGAAGAGACUUGCCUGGGGAGGCUGCUCUGGUCCUCAGGCCCUGGUCUUCGUGUGGGUCCCCAGGUGUGGUGGAAAUGGCGGGGUGGUGAGAGAGGGCUGGGGUCAUGAUGGAUGGAGAGGAUGUGAGUAGAGUGAUUGGGAGGAGUGGGGAUGGGAGGGGGACUUGUGGGUGUGUGGCAGGUGUGUGUGCAAUGUGCACACGUCUGCAUAUGAGCAUGUGUGGCUCCUACCAAAUGACCCCAGGUGAUGGAAUCUGGAAUGGAUGGGGAAAGGGAGUUGGGCAGGAGCCCAGCAGUGUCAGCUAGUUAAUAGAUAAAACCCAUUCUUUGGGAUUCUCAUUAGGGCGCUGAGGUCUCCAUCCACUUCAGACUCAACUUGUGUCCAUACAGACCUCACUGAGGGCUUCCAGCAGGCUGUUCUGCUCCCAGCUCUCCUGGGAGGAGUGGGCGUGGGUUUUAAUUCUUGCCCAGAGCCCUGCUGACAGGUGGUGCUCUGUCUGGAGGCGAACCUGGGGCCCAGCUCGGUGGAACCAUUUUCAGCUGUGUACCCCAGUAAGUGCUUGGCCUUUCAGAUCAUAGUUUCUCUCAUGUGCGUAAGAAGGGGUGGGUCAGGAUGGAGGCGGUUUCCAAACACCAGUCUUCCAUGCCAACAUCUGCCCCCUAGACUUGGCAAAAACCAGAACAAUAAGGACAAUGCCAUAAGUUGUUCAUGAAACUAAAUGCAUCCAGUCUAAUGGAUUAUCCUUUAUUCUGAGAUGACGUCCUUCCUUUUUUUGAUAUUCAAAUGCCCUUUUGAAAAUCAAAUGAUAGAAACUCUGUGUGUGUGUGCACGUGUGCGCAUUUGUAUGCUUGUGAAUAAAGGCAUGCUGAUGAAAGAAAGGCAGUGCUUAUCAUAGUGUGGUCUGAGAAUGCCUGGAGGUCCCCAAAACACUUUCAGGGGGUUUAGAAAGUCAAAACUGUUUUCAUAAUAGUACUAAGAUGUCAUUUGCCCUUUUUACCCUGUUGACAUUUGCACUAGUGGUGCAAGAGCAACAGCCAGUAACCUGCUAGUCUGGUAGCACGCAUCAGGCUGGGACGUUCUUGCAGUAAAACAAAAAAGAGAAAAAGAGACAAUGUCACUUAAGAAUGUCCUUGAAGCAGAAAAAUUUAUUAACUUCUUCAUUUUUCAACCCUUGAGUACAAGACAUUUUAAUAUUCUGUACAACCAAGUGAAGGUGUGCAUGAAACAUUUCUCCUGCAUACUGAAGUAUAAUAGUUGUCUUAAGGAAAAGUACUUGUGCAAUUGAGUUGUUAGCUGACCUAGCUGAACAUCAUUUUUACUUGAAAAAGGAAGACUAACAGAAAAAUUAUGGUUAUGCAAUCUCAAGUAUUGGUAGACAUUUUCUUGAAAAUGAAUAAAGUGUGCCAGUCACUUCAAGGAAAAUAAUGGACCACAUUUGUCACCAAUGAUAAAAUUCAGGCUUUCAAGAUAAUGGAGAUAAAUGCCUGGAACAGGGUGGCUGUCCAAUAAAGUCUGUCUUUCCCCUCUUUCUUCUACUCCUAUUUCCUCCUCUUUUUUUUUUUUUUUUUUGACAACGUCUGACUCUAUCGCCUAGGCUGGAGUGCACUGGUGCCACCUCAGCUCACUGAAACCUCCGCCUCCCAGGCUCAAGCCAUCCUCCCACCUCAGCCUCCUGAAUAGCUGGGACUACAGGCACACACCACCACACCCAGUUUAUUUUUGUAUUUUUCUUUUUUUUGUAGAGAUGAAAUUUUGCCACAUUUCCCAGGUUGGUCUUGACUUCCCUCUCUUCUUGGUAGAGGUUAGCUCCUUGGCCCUGGCUGGCAAAGUGUCUGAAAAUUGACACUCUUCAGUGUCAAUUUUCCAAUGAGAUGGGGUAGGAGGUAUUGGUUUGGGCACGGAGUAAGCUGCUGUAAGAACAGUCCCCCAAAUACAGCAAGUUCAACAAGAUGGAAGAUUAUUGCUCUCAUGGAAAACUCUAAGCAAGGAAGGGGUCUGGGAAUGGAAGGCAGUUUGACUCCAUGAAGUGGAUCAGGAAUUCAGGUAACUUCCAUCCUGUGCUCUGCCCUCUCCAUGGUGGAAGCUGGAUCUCUGUGCUGUGUCUAUGUUUCAGUCUGCAAGAAGGCAGGGAGAAGAUGGGAAGGGCUAGCACACAUUGCUUCUGUUCACAUGCCAUUCACAUAUGGCCACAUGUAACUGCCUGGGAGGCUGGAAAGUAGUGUAGUUUCUAGUAAUAUGGCUAUUCUAUGACUAAAAAGAAAAAAGGGAGAAAGGAUUCUAGGGGAUGGAUGACAGUUUCUGCCACAAUAUGAGUGGGGUAGGAUCAGAGGAGAAAAAUGUGGGAAUAGCAGAAAUGUAGCACCUAUGAGCUCACAGCUUCAAAGAGAUGCUCAGGUGAAAUCCCAGAGAGGCCCACCUAGACUCAGCACCCUGCUGCUGCUACCUCUUCUCACCUCAUCAGUCUGUGCAUGGUAUGUAGGCCACGUGUCUUUGCAUUUCCUCCAAACAUCUGAACAUGGUGGAUCUAGAAGGCACUUUAGAGAUCCCCUUUUAUUCUGUAAAAGGAGAGGCACAGCCCCAGAGACAGAAGACUCUUGACCAAUGACACACAGCAAGUCAGAGUUGGGAUUGGGACUAGAACCAAGCUUUCCCACUCCCCAGGCCCAUAGCUCUCUUGCCAUAGCCCACAAUAUCUCUUUGAUGAUGCACCAGGCCCUUUCCCUUCUGAUACAUCAGAUGGCUCCCUCCCUGAGCUGACCACCUGAUUCCUUAUCCUCUGUUACCUUGAAAAGCAUGAAUAUACGUUAAAUAGGAAAGGAAUGAAGCAAACAUGUAUCACACAGUCGAAAAGAAGAAUAGGCAUAGGCAUGUAGUGUAAGAAAGGUUAUUCAGGGAAGGGGCAUUUCCAUCCCUUUUUAUUCAUACACCACCCAAGAGUCUUUUGAAUGCAGGUGCAAAAAUCCCACUGAAACCUGCUUACAAAAUUAAGGAGGAUUUAUUGGCUUAUAUAGUCUCCAAUUCCAUAUUUUUAGGAUGGGUCACUUUUAACACCCUACUCCUGAUACCAAUUUCUACAUCACUUGAGAUGUCUUGUUGACAAGCAGUAACAAUGGGCUCUGACUAAACUGAGACUUUUGGGCAUUUAUUGGAAUAAUCCUGGGGUGGUCUCAAUGAAAGGACUGAAGAAAGGGCUGAAGAACCAGAUCUGGAACUUAUAUCUCAGAGGAUAUCAGCAGCAGAAGAGUCUGCUACCUUCCAACCCUGAGUCUGUAUGCAGAGGCAAAGUGUGGGCAAAGGAAUUCUGGUUGCAUGCCUACCCUAUCUGAUACCAGAAGAAAAUGGGGUAAACAUGGGGAGCUAUGACAGAUAAAAACAAUCACCAUUAUGCCUUUAAUUUCCCCUAUAAAUGCAUACUAUCAUUAUCCACAUUCGCUUAUUAGAUUUGUAUUUUUUCUCAUUUUAACUUAAAGAAAUAUGUAUAGUUCUUAUUGAUGGCAUCUUUCUAAUGGGAGGCAGUACAUGUAAUACAACUUCUUGGCUUAAUACUUACUAACUACAUAACUUGGGCAAGUUACUCAACUUCUCUGAGACUUGAUUUCUUCAUUUUUAAGAUGGGGAUAAGAAUUCCUUGUAGGGUAUUUGAGAUCAUUAAGAUAACUAAUGCAUGAAAGGAUUUUAAAGUAGAGUGGUGGCCAUUUUUAUCAUUUAAAUUUUCCUCUCUCUUUACUGUCUUAGGCUGGAUUCCCAGAAGCAGACUCUUAGUGAAGGAAAUGUAUAGGGGAUGAGAAAGUGGGGCAGGGAAGGGAAGCAGAUCCGGCAAGGAUCCGAUAUCAAGCAAACUCCCACAGAGGGUAAUUUUGGCUCAAUUCCACAUGUGAACUUUGGAGACAUACGAGUCACAACUCAGAGUUGCAUGAGCAGGGAACAAGGGAGCUGGGGUAUUGAUACUCCCAUGUUGCCAAUCAUUGGUUGCAGUGUCUGGCAAGCUGUAGAAAGCAUUCUGACAAUGAGAUGCAAGUGUUGGCUGUUGGGAGUCAAAGCACACUGGGGAUCAGGAAAAGGAGCAGAGGAGGUAUGGACGAAACAUGCUACCUGUCCUCAGUGGUGCUCAUUUACACAAUAGACUUGAAGAGUGUUUUAACAAAGGGGCCAGGGUUAGAGAAAGCAUGAAGGUGAGACUCAGCAGCCUGUUCCAUCUGGGUCAGAGGUCACUCACUCUGACUCCAGGACUUUUUUCUUGGAGCUGCCAAUUUGCAAAGUAUUUCGAAAUAGUAGGCUCAGCAAACUUGGAAAGGCAGGAUGCUCAGCUCAAAAGCUGAGAGUAAUUGUUUAAAAUAUGGGGUUGAGCAAUCAGGGAUUCUCACCUGGAAGCCUUUUGCACCAUGGCAUUUUGCCAGCAGGCCCUGUGCUGGAUCAGGCUGCACGCACUGGCCCAGGCUCACAGCAGUGCAAAGAAAUGAGUGGUUGUUCCCACGGCCCAUGUUUUGAGGGUUUAGAGGCAGGCUCAGAUUUCACAGUUGGCAAGAGGUCCCUCUGCUCCGGUAUUCUACCCGUACUUCCUGAUUACCUGUAAGACCUCAGGCAUUGACCUCGGCACUGGGGAAAACCUCACGUCUCACAAGACCACAGAUAACUCUAGCUCCUGCGCUGCAUCAAGAAGGACAGGCAGAUCAAGCGUGUUGGAGGCAUUGAGAAAAGAAACAUCACUUUCCACCUGAUCAAGAAAGGUCUCUUGAGUUGUCCUUGAAAAGAACAAUCAAAGCGUCUUAUUUAGCCAAUAGUCUAAAAGUUAUAUAUUUAAUAUUUAUUUUAAGAACAUUCACAUGGCAUUUACUACAUGCCAGGAAAAGUUGAAGAGCUCUACACAUAUCAACUCAGUUCCUAUUUGUAGGGAAUGUGAAGCUUACUGGGGAUGUUUGUGGGGAUCUUGGCUGCCCAAUGUGGGACCCCUGUUCCCUUUAGGUGUCUAACACAUGUUCUCUUUCUCUUUGAUGGCCAAGGCAUGGCUGGCCAAUGGGAUGCUUCUCUCUCCAAAGGAGCAGGGAGAGCUGGAGAUACCCUCCUUGCAAACAGCAGCUUGAGGAUCCAGCGCCUGGUGCACAGGUCUGCAAAUCGCCUGGGGUGACUCUGAUGAACUUGAUUAGUAUUGGCUGAACUUGGGCCAGGGUACGGGAUGGGUUCAAGCCUGUUCUGUAUGUUUGUAAUUUGGGGACUCAGGUUGAAAGGGUAGUGUCCAUCUGGAGCAAACUCAUGGUGAAGAGCUGGAGUGCAAGAGAUAGGAGUGGAAAUGUGCAAUGCCUCUUCAGACCUUGGCUUGGAACUGGCACAGCAUCACUUCUACCCAUAUUCAACUGAGCAGAACGCAUGACACAGUCAAGUCCAACAUCAGUGGUGUGGGGUAGUCCUGUCUGCUCACAGUGAAUCGUGAUACAGGGAGACAAGGAAGAAUUGUGGACUAAUAAUUUAAUCUAUCACACAGGGGGUGUUUUUUCACAACCUGAUAUCCUGAUUCCAACCCUCUGAGUGGAAUUUUUUUUUUUAAUUUUUUAGAGACAAGGUCUUGCUCUGUCACCCAGGCUGGAGUACAGUAGUGUGAUCAUAGCUCACUGCAGCCUCAAACUCCUGGGCUCAAGUGAUCCUCCUGCUUUAGCCUCCUGAAUACAUGAGACUACAGGCAUGCGCCACCAUGCCCAGCUUAUUUUUAUUUGUAUUUUGUGUAGAGCUGUAGUCUUGCAAUGUUGUCCAGGCUGGUCUUGAGCUCCUGGUCUCAAGUGAUCCACCCGCCUUGGCCUCUCAGGCAUGAGCCCCCGUUCUCAGCUGGAAUAUCUGUAUUUUGAAGAAGCUGCCCUGGUGAUUCUGAUGUGCAUUCUCACGGGCCCACAGCGACCCCAAGAAGCUGCUCCAACCCCUGGGACUAUGGAGCUCUACAGCUGUAGAGACCACCAGGAAGUGGACUGCAGGCCCCUGGCCUCUCCAUUCAGAUUCUGCAAAGAGAUCCUGAUGGGUUGGGCCAAUGGGUCAGGCAUCCAGUCAGCUCUGGCUAAGGGGUGAAGGAGUCAGGUGUUACCAACGUGGUGGCAGGGGCCACCUUGAAGCUGUGUUCUGUGCCAUGGAAGAAGGAAGAGGAGGAGGAAGCUAAGCUGGAAGGGAAGGCAGUCUAGGCUCCUGGAGUCAGUAGUUGGAAUCUCAGAUGGGAAGAAACCUUAAAAGUCAUCUGGUCCAGUAUUUUCCAAAGCAUGUUCCAUGAACUUGUUUUCCAGAAAUGGUUUCCUGGUCUGGUGAGUGGGAGUUCGAUGAGAGUGGCAGUUGUCUAUUUUGUUCACCGAUGUAUCUUAGGUGACUAAAACAAUGGUUGUCACAUGGCUGGCCCUUCAUAUUUGUUUCCAGAUGGAAGACUCUCUUUCUAGUGGUGGAACAUUAGUUUUGCACUGUGUUGGGACAACCUGAUGUAGUGAAAACAAGCCUGGGCAAUGAAAUCAACAGAUUGGAGUUCAGUUCCUAAUUGGGUCAUGGAUGAACUUUGUGACCUUGGGCAAGUGAGUUCACCUCUCUGAGUUGAAUAGGUUCCCUCCUUUCUAGAACAAGUAUGAGUCUGCAUCAGAGAGUGGUUGCGAGGGCUACACAUGAUGGAGGAUGAGGACUGGCACAUCAGAAGUACUGAAUGAAGAAUUGUAACAUAAAAAUGACAACAGUAAUAUAUUUUUGUGGUUUCAGCACUCUUCAAAUGAAACCACCUGGCCAACAGGAUUUUAGUGUACCUGCUUAUAACAUUAGCCUUCGUUUCCACCAAAAAGGGUGUUAAAAAAGGAAGCUUGGAACAUGAAAGUAAGACACUUGGAUGAAGAGAUUUAUGACUCUGGGGGGCUGUGAAUUCCUAAUGUCCUUUUGAGACAUGUAGAUCUUCCAGAGCGAUGCUGCCCAAUGCAGUAGCCACUAGCCAAGUGCAAAUGGUCACUUGCAAUAUGGCUAGUCUUUGAGAUGUGUUUUAAGUGUAAAAUACACACUGAAUUUUAAAGACUUAGCGCAAUACAAAGAAUGUAAAAUAUCUCAUUAUAUCUUGAAAUUAUACUAUUUUGGAUAUAUGGUGUUCCCUUGGUGUCUUUGGGGACUGGUUCCAGGAUCCUAGAGGAUACCCAAAUCCCCAGAUGUCAAGUCCGCUAUAUAAAAUGUCCUGUAGUAUUUGCAUAUAACCUACACACAUCCUUCUGAAUACUUUAAAUCAUCUCUAGAUUCCUUGUAAUUCCUAAUACAAUGUAAAUGUUAUGUAAAUAGUUGUUAUACUAUAUUAAAAAGUUUUUUAUUCUUUAUUUUUGCUGUAUUAUUCUUUUUGCAUAUUUUCAGUCCACAGAUGGUUGAUGCCACAGAUGUGGAACCUGUGAAUAAGGAGGGCUGACUGUAUUGAGU